ACUAAUGCACCUCUGAGUUCUAUUAUUCUGAACAUUUUUCGAGACGAUGAAGAUGCACAAGAAGAUACAAAAUCACCCUUGUGCUCAUCACGUGGAUUUAAACUGUUCCUGUCCACGCGCAUGUGGAAUUUAGGAAGCAAAACAGGCAUAUAUUUGGAAACCCUUUACGUGGCCUACUCUUCAGUUUUCAGAAAAGUGGCAAGACAAUAGGACUUUCAUGAUAAAAUCAUAGAAGAUUAUCAAGUUAAAACAGAAGGGACCUUUUAUUAGUUUGUCAUUAGCUAUGUUUAUUUUUUAAUUUUUUUAUUAGUUAUGUUUAAAAAAGUUCCAUUAUUAUACACAUUAUUUUCUGUAUGUACAUAUUAAAAAUGUGAUCAGUUUUCUGUUACCA